rnacentral:sRNA from 1 species
AGAACGAUGAGAGGCAGCCUCGCAUUCAGACCCACCCACACGCCCAGCUUCCCCACGAUCACAGGUAUAGCAUUUGCCAGUGGACAAACCUCAGUCUAACAUAUGCCUCUCCUUAUGCACAGUGGGCAGGCUGCCUUGGAAGCAGCCCGUGUGUUCAGAGUCUCAGCUACACAUUAGGUGCUGUGGGCAAGAGUAUACAGUGUGCCGGCCAAGUUUAUGUCAUUGUGACCUACGCUACAGUUAUCUGAAGGGAGGGAGCCUCAGGAGAAAACGCCUCAGUAAGACCAGGCUGUAAGGACGCUUUCUUGUUAGUAAUCAAUGGGGAGGCCUGGCCCACUGUGGGUGUGGCCAUCUCUGGGCUGCAGGUCCUGGGCUCUACAAGAAGGCAGGUUGAGCAGACCAUGAUGAGCAAACCUGUAAGUGCCUUCUGGCCUCUGCGUCAGCUCCAUUUCCUGCUCUGCUUGAGUCCUGUCCUGACCUCCUCCAGUGAUGGAUGGGCUACGACCUGGAGGUGUAAGCUGAACAAACCCUUUACUCCCCACCUUGCUUUUUGGGUCCCACAAUAGAAACCCUAAGACAGUGUUCUCUGCAGUGUCUCCAGGACGGCAGUCAGCAGGAACCACUUCAUUUCUGUUUAAACUCUUGUGGAACUUUGGUCUUCUCCAAGAGUAGUAUGUGCUUUUUAGCCACUGGGCCAUCUUUUCAUCUCCAAUCUCUCUUUCCUCAGUAGCUGGGUCCCUUCCUGCUCACAAGACAGCAGCCUUUCUGGCCUUCCGAAUGUUCUUCCUUCUUGGCCUUGUGUCUUGCUGCUGCCCUCAGAGGCACACCUCCUCAGCUGUAUGCAGCAUAAAUGCUCUAACUCUUGGCUGGAUUGUGUUCCUUCCUCUACAAACCUGGGUAUGGGCCUUUCACUCCAGAACAAGCCUCGUCUUACACCCACGCUGACUGAGGAACCUGGGCAGAGGCUCCCACUCACAUUUGGACCUCUGCUUAUGCCUGCUCAGCAGAUACGGCACACACUGAGUCUGCCAUCUGUAUGCACUGCUUAUGCCUGCUCAGCAGAUACGGCACACACUGAGUUUAUGCCAUCUGUAUGCACUGUGCUGGUCUGAUGGCUUCAGAGGCUCAGGUACUCGGAUCCUUGCUCCCCAGUGGACUGCUGGCUGUCUGGUUACGUUUAGGAGAUAUGGAGAAGUUGGUGAAUGUAUGGCCCUGAGGAUGGCCCGUGAGGCUCAAAGCCACGUGCUAUUCCUAGUUUGCUCUUUGUGUUUCCUGCUUGCAGUUUAAGACAUGAACACUCAGCUCCUGCUCCAGUCAUGCUGCCUGCUUCCAGCCAUGACGGACCCUCACUUCACUGGAACUGUGAGGUGCCCGUCCGUGUUAACCACGCACAGAGCCAAUGAUAGAAGGUGUGCACCAUUUCUUAAAGGCUGUCUUCUGACGACACAAGCAAGCCACCCCUACUAUUAUGACGACUAAUAAAAAUAAAUAAAAUGUAAAGUAUUUUAAGAGA